rnacentral:rRNA from 1 species
UACGUAGGGGGCAAGCGUUGUCCGGAAUCAUUGGGCGUAAAGAGCGUGUAGGCGGCUCGGUAAGUCCGCUGUAAAAGUCAAAGGCUCAACCUUUGAAUGUCAGUGGAUACUGCCGGGCUAGAGUCCGGAAGAGGCGAGUGGAAUUCCCGGUGUAGCGGUGAAAUUCGUAGAUAUUGGGAAGAACACCGGUGGCGAAGGCGGCGAGCUGGUCCAUUACUGACGCUGAGGCGCGACAGCGUGGGGAGCAAACAGG